GGGGCACAAAGUACUUAAGUAGACUAACUACAGUACUGAUGUGUUUGUUUUUACUUCCAGUUUCCCUUUCAGCAGCAAGUUAGUCGUUCAAACACGCAACAGCCAGUUCUCAACACUUAGGAUUUUUGUCAUUCUCUCUGUGGCGUGAACCCAAUCACGGCGGAGAACGUUUUGCUUUAAGCGGCCUCACCAGCAGCAAAGCCCCGAGACGAACGGUCGCCCUCCGGACACAUCUGAAGAGCUGCAACGGCUGACGACGUGCCCUGGGCCACUCCAAUCUCAACAAGAGCUCGGCCUGACACGUGCACGCGCGCGCACACGCAGGAUUACUGGACCCUGGUGGCAAAGGUCAGAGCGGCUGGGAGAGCAGGAAACGGGCGUUGGAAGUGCAGAAACGCACCUGGAAGACCCCCCAAAUAAAGCUCUGGAUGUGCGUGUGUGCGUCGUACACACGUACAGUUAACGCAUACCUGCGUAUGUCCUCUGGGUGCCUGGCUCGGCUCGGCGGUGUGGGAAAACGGCAGUAAUGGAAAAGGAGACCAUUUCAAAGGCGUUUUGGAACAUAUUCCAAAUCUACGUUCAGAUUAACGCUGUUAAGGUGUGUCACAAUGUUGAGAUUUUUCACGUUUUGUGGCUAUAAAACUCUUCAAGUCAAAGAGGCAAAACCUCGCCAGAUGAUGAAACGGUCCUGACUUGGUGAAUGCCAACCAUAGCUGUCACCAUGGCAACACUUCGCUUCUCGGUGACUG